rnacentral:lncRNA from 1 species
GUGCAUGGCUUUCAAAGGACUUUGGCACUAAAUGGAUGCAAUUAAUGAAAGAUAAAGUUUCAUCAGUGAAAUGGGGUACUGCAGUAGGAAAAGAAGGAGAAGAGAUUUAUCUUUCUACUUAUAAUGAUAAUCCAAUUUUUUCUUUUUUACAUAUGAUAACAUCAUCUUCUACAAUAAAAGUAUGGAAAUCAAGUGAUAAUGGCAGGUCAUUUG